rnacentral:rRNA from 1 species
UACGUAGGGUGCGAGCGUUAAUCGGAAUUACUGGGCGUAAAGCGCGCGCAGGCGGUUUUGUAAGUCAGAUGUGAAAGCCCCGGGCUCAACCUGGGAACUGCGUUUGAAACUGCAAGGCUAGAGUAUGGGAGAGGGGGGUAGAAUUCCACGUGUAGCAGUGAAAUGCGUAGAUAUGCGGAGGAACACCGAUGGCGAAGGCAAUCCCCUGGGCCUGCACUGACGCUCAUGCACGAAAGCGUGGGGAGCAAACAGG